ensembl:snRNA U7 U7 small nuclear RNA
UAGUAUUACAGCUCUUUUAGGAUUUGCCUAGCAGGCUUUCAAGUUUUUACCAGAAAACCCCC